AGAAAAAGUUAUAGGAAACUUACUCAUUUUGCAAUUAAUACUUCUCUUUGCAAACUGUCUUUAAAAAAGUGACCAUGUAACAUUUCAAAUCAUCAUUGAAAUUGCUGGUGUCUCUGGCUUGGUUUCUAGAAGUUGAGUGCCUGCUGUAGGUGUAGGAGAGAAGUCCUGUGGUCGGAAGCUCUGCAAAGAAGCAGCCCACUUCCAGCUCCUGCAGGGUGGCUGGAGUAAAGUUUUGGUUACAAAGACACAAUUACUGCUCUGAAGGAAUGAUGAAAGGUGCUUUGACGUGGAGGUUACCACAACGGCUUCAUUAUGGGAAAGAAAUGAGAAGCUGCACUGAGUUACCAUCUACCAUGUUUUAGCCACAUCCUGCAGUGGAACUUGACCAUGAGAGCCAGCCUGAUAUGUGGUUUGUUAUUUUGUUGUUUUGUUUUCUUACGAUCCCUGAAGUUCCAUUUUAAGAAAUUAUCAUACUAAGCACAGACCUCAGUCUUCAUGGGUCUGCUGAUGUGGGCGUGCAAUGUCUUCAGUCUCUUAUGGUGUUGAGCAUUCCAGAAAGAGGCUAAGUUAGGAUGUUUGGUUUUUCUGAGGACAUGUUAGAUGAAGGUACAAACUGUCCAGGAAAUGAGAUAGAACUACGUUUUUACGAAGGUAUGAAUUGAGGAUGAUCUUCAUGGGCACAAGAGAAGCAUUUGGGAUUUCAAAGUACCAUGUCCUAAUGUUCUAGAUGGAUUGGUAUUCAACCAUAUGAAUAGGCCAUGCUGAAUAUAACUUUCAGAUAAGGUAUUCACAUAUAUACGUUCUUUUCCCGAAGUAGGUGUUUCUGCGCCCAUUGGUUGAUAAUAUUACAUGUUAUGCAAAAAUAUUUUGCAACUACAGUACAUAGUGCACAUUUAUGCACUCAUAUCUCCUGCUAUUCAUAUCUGAGUACCUAUUUGUGAAGUCAGGGAGACAUGAACACUGGCCCAAGACUUGUGCUUAAGUAGUCAUAAGUGGUCAUAUAGAUAUAUACAUUCCUUCUUUAACUAAAAGCUUGCUCAGCGCUGUUGAAGUCUGCAGCAACUCAUGUUGUCAGAGUGGGAACAGCCACAGAUACUGAUCUCCCAAACCGUCCCUUUCACUGUAAUGGACUCUCAGUGAUGACAACUGUUUUUUGUGUUGUUUCUUCUUUUUUUUUUUUUUUCUUGAGUUCACUGCUAGAAUGUGCUGAUCUUUACAAAGCUCAGUCUCCCAGUAAUAAUACAUAUUCUUUGAAAGGAGGCAGAAGGAUAAAAAAAAACAGCAGAAUCCAAAAUCAGAUUAAUGUAAUGUGUUUUUCCAUCUUAUGAUUACUAACAAGAUGGCAUGUUGGCAUGUUAACACUUGAAGUUUAACUACAAGUUUUUAAAAUGAAGCAAUGACAUGUGCGUAGCUUUCUCUCCCUUUGCAUACAAUCCACCAGAAAACAUGCAUCAUUCCCACAGUACUCAGGCAAUUAAACCCUACUACUUACUUUUGAAUUAAGUGUUGAACUAAAACAUCAUGCUUCUUUCCUCGCAUUUAUGCAUAAUCUCCCACCAUGAAUUAUAAAUAUUGAUAAUGAACCCGUCCAUUUUGUAUCAUCUUAGGCUUCCUGUCAUUAGAUUUCAUACUAAAAUGAUUAGCAUAAGAAAUAUAAGGCACGCUUCAUUCUUUGUGGUUUGUACCAUGAUUUACUUUAAAUUCUGCCACAGCCUAAUAUGAAAAGCAUCCUACCAAUAUUGGUAAACCCUGUUUAUUAAUUAAAUUGAUAGACCGUGUGGCUGAGGAUCAGGAAUUAAAAUUCCAGUCUUACCUAAAAUCACUAACAGUAAAUUUUUAAAUGUGAGAUUAUCAGCUAAAACAGAGAUCCUAGCUACUAUUUUCUGGAUUUCUUAUGGUGAAAAGUGUUGUCUAACUGUUACAGAGUCUGUUUGGUUUUCUUUUGCUAAGCAGAAGUUAGCUUGUUUAGAUGUGCUGUCUAUGGUAAACAGGCCGGGCACUGCUUUACGUAUGCCAUUGUUUGGUGUUAAACUUUCUUAGAAUGCAAAAUGAGGCACUUUGUUCUGAUUGCUUUAUAUGCACAAUAUCGCUUUGACCAAAUUCCUCACAGUCAGAAUUGAGGUGCUGCUAAAUUCUAAGUAAAAAUAACCUUCUUCUGUCACCCUAAAUAGACAAAGUGGGCUGUGUUACAUGAUGAUUUCUUUGACAGUUCACUUAUUUCCAUAUACUAUACUGUAUAGCGCAUCACAAGGUACUGAAAAUAUAGCUUAAUGUAUUUCCACAGCUCCCUGUGCAAUCUUUAAAGCCUGAAUUCUAUUCCUCAUACUACUAUGGGAUGGCAUACGCUUGGAAGUACCAUGAUUGACUCCUGCACAAUAAUCACAUUACAUUCAGAAUAAUGCAAUUGCUGGGAAAUAUUUCACAUACACCGUAGGGUUCUCAAGUUAAACCUCCAUACUAAGGUAUGGAUGAUGUUUAACCUUGUGGGCUUUUAAAAAGUGUAAACCUUGACCUGUAUUUCUAACUUGCAGAGGAAGGAUUUUAGUAUUUCGAUUUUCUAUGGUUGUGGGUGGAGGGAGGGACAUGUACAUGCUGGGUUUUGCUACUAAUCCUUCGGAAAUCCUUUAGUGCCUUAAGGAGGCAGAGGGGAAACAGACCUUAGGAUUACGGAAAUUUGUUCAAACCUCCUUCCUGCUUCAGCAGAGUUCCUUUAAAAUAUAUUGUGCCUUUGGCUCCAAACAUAUUUGCAUUAGAAACCAGUAGCAAUAGGAUUAUGGACAGGAAUUUUUGUCCCCACAAAAAUAUUAGGAAAGAGAGUAUAUUGUUUCUUAUGUAGGGUGUGAAUUAAAAAUAUAGCUAGCUUGUUUUACCGCUGUCAUCCAUGCCUAAACCAUUAUUUGCUAACAAGGAUAAUUGCAAGUUGGAGGUAGAAUUAAAAAAAAAAAAAAAAAAAGUAAAUUUAAAUGUACUGGAUGAGAUACUUGUACCACAAAUCUCCAUGGCCUCCCUGGGACCAAGAUUUCAUGCAGUCUUCUACUUGGCUUAAGAAAUGCUCACAUCUGAUAGAUAUUAAAGCAAUAUGCUCUGUUUAAGAUUUUCCAAAUACAUAGGAGGGGAAAAGAGAGAUGAGUAGUUGUGAAGACCUACCUUGAUCUGGAGUCGUCGGGAUCUGUGGUAUAAAUCUCUGUUCGAUGUUAUUUCUGUCUGUAACAGACUCUCAUUAUUGGAAUAUGAAUAUGCAAAUGUAAAUUCCAACGUGAGAGGAUACUGUGCAGUGUGAAUUAAUGGAUGCUGAAUAUCUGCAUUUCUCUGUUCUCAGAAUAGUGGUUGUGUCUUCUUUAAAAUGAGGGAAAAAAUAAUUAACUGGUUAAUACCACUCCUCAACAAAAAGCCUUUGAGAGGUCAUUCAUGUUCUCACUGGUGUUCCUAAGCAGAUCUUAGGAGAAAUCGAUCAGCCUCAGCCUUUGGCUUGGAGAUGGGAAGAGAAAUUUAUCUUCUAGGAAUUAAAAAUAGUUGGUACAGAGCUACCAAAAGAAAAAAAAAUGAAAAAGAAAUAAAAAACCUGGGCAUGAAACUCAGAGGAGUGGUUGUCUAUUUUGCUCCCUUUGAUGACAAACAAGUUUUAAAAAAUAUGUAAAUAGUUAGAAGAAAAAUCAUUACACAGCUCACAGUAUAUAAGACAAGAUGCAGCAUGGAACAGAUUUUUAUGGCUUGUUUAUAAAUUAGACUUCUGUCUUUUGUUUGGAAUUUGAAGAAAGAAACCAUGUAAAUUAAGUAAGGAGUAAAAACUGUCUACUCACCCUGACUGAAACAAAGAUAUUUCCCCACCUCCUGAUGUAUUUAUGAGAAAUCUGGGAUGAAUAAUGUAUGGAGAUCUUGUAUUUUGAGCUCUACUGCUGUGCAGCUAUUCAGCUCUUCUGCACAGCCACUAGUGUUGUAGCUACCAUGAAGCAUUGGGGACACAAGUUGGAGUCCAUUUCAAGAGGUGCCAAAGAAUUCACAAAAAGGCUGGGGUUUAUGGUUUGAUACUUAUUAAACAGAUGUACCAGCUAGAUGUUUUUGGAGGGGAAAGGGUUGUAAAUAAAUGCAAAAAGUUUAAACUCUUACCCAUGAUUACCCUGUAAUUGGGUGUCAAAGUGGAGAAGCUAACCAAGAAGUUUCAGUAACAUGAUAGAGACCACUCUUGAUUUUGAUCUGUUUAUGGAUAACUUUUCAAUAAAGAUUUCCACUUUAAGACAUUUAUCAUGGAUGUGAAUUGUACAUAUGUAUUAAUUUUCAACGUAAUUAGGGUGAAUACAGAAUUGUAACGAAGUCACAAAGUCUACUUGAUGAUUAUCACAGAUUUGUAACUCUCACAAAUUAUGUAAGAUAUGUUGACAUUUUAUCUUGUUAACAAGAUGUAUUUUUCUAUGUUAGUUAAAUGUAUAAUUUGUACAAUUUUGUAUAUUAAAUGUAUGCAUAUUUUAAAUUAAAAACUUUAUAAUUUUAAUUAUUUUUAACUUCAAAAUGGUGGUGGAGCUUCUAAAUAUAGUUGUAAAUACAACCGUAUCCCUGCAUAGCAACCAAGAAAGUCUCCAUUUUGAGGAAAGGCCAUCAACUAUUGGCUAUUUGGUCUGCUACCAGGAUAAGGAUACUGCUCAGUCUUUAGUUCUUGCUCCUCUUGGUAGAAAAGCUGCCAUUCAGCUUCUGAUGACUUAGCAGAAUUAGCGUGAGUUAGCAGAACAGUACUGGCUGUCUUUUUGUUGUACUUUCUCAGGAAGUAGGAAACACGAGCCUUUACUGGCUUGUGGAAUUUAGGGUCCAUAGUUCCAACAUAUCAAGGGGCUGUCCAAAUUUCCAAUGUAUAGGACAGGAAUUGGGGGCAGGAGAAGGACACAACAGAUGGAAAUCCAAUAGUCAUGUAGAGCAGAGAAGGAAUCUCAGUGACUCAGCUUUAUCCUCUGGAAGAAAGAAAUCUCAGAUCUCUCUCACUGCUCAUGCCCCCCCCUUUGUUUUAUUUUAUUUUAUUUUUUUGUCUGAUGAUUCUACUGUAAAAUAUGCAACAGCAAAAACAGGUGGAAAAUGUUCUCUGAGCUCCUGCAUUUGAGAAGCCAUUUUCCAGCUCUUGGCAUUCAUGCUGUUAAAAGAAGAGUUCCAGCUACCACUGGCAGGUUGGUAAAUCAUGUCUUUCUCGUUGGGCUUUUGUUGAAAGUUUUUGUUGAGGGAAGCUAGCAUGUCUCUAGGUCUUCCGCUGUGUCUCAUCUAGCCUAUUUGGAAUAUAAUUAAUUUGUCACUGGUGUAUGUCAGUAUAAAGCUUAAAGGUCCUACAGGAAGAGGUUGCAAUUUCAGUCAAGUUCUGUCCUGUUUUCACCAAG
ensembl:lncRNA